GGACGCUUGUCGGGCUUCGGUCCGGCGGGAGUGGCGCACGGGUGAGUAGCGCGUGGGAACCUGCCCUGUUGUGGGGGAUAACCGAGGGAAACUUCGGCUAAUACCGCAUGCGCCCGCGGAGUUGAUCUGCGGGGAAAGAUUUAUCGCAGCAGGAGGGGCCCGCGUCGGAUUAGCUGGUUGGCGGGGUAACGGCCCACCAAGGCGAUGAUCCGUAGCUGGUCUGAGAGGAUGAUCAGCCACACUGGGACUGAGACACGGCCCAGACUCCUACGGGAGGCAGCAGUGGGGAAUAUUGGACAAUGGGCGCAAGCCUGAUCCAGCAAUGCCGCGUGAGUGAUGAAGGCCUUCGGGUUGUAAAGCUCUUUCGCCCGCGACGAUGAUGACGGUAGCGGGAGAAGAAGCCCCGGCUAACUUCGUG
rnacentral:rRNA from 1 species